UGUUUCUUCUUCUUCUUCUUCCGG
rnacentral:sRNA from 1 species